rnacentral:rRNA from 1 species
UACGAAGGGUGCAAGCGUUACUCGGAAUUACUGGGCGUAAAGCGUGCGUAGGUGGUGAGUUAAGUCUGUCGUGAAAGCCCCGGGCUCAACCUGGGAAUGGCGAUGGAUACUGGCUCGCUAGAGUGCGGUAGAGGAGAGUGGAAUUCCCGGUGUAGCAGUGAAAUUCGUAGAUAUCAGGAGGAACACCGAUGGCGAAAGCAGCUCUCUGGGACGGUACCGACGCUGAGGCGCGAAAGCGUGGGGAGCGAACAGG